AGUGAGACUCCACACUUGUCAAAGGCAUGAGUGAUUACAGCCAGUUGUCAAAAGACACAUUAGUGGUAAUGGCCAUUCUAUCAAUGAAUGUCCGGAUUUCUAUCAAAAUGGCACAGUCUGCAAUCUUAUCCCCUGAUAGAAGAUUACCAUACACAUUGUCCUCUUUUUUCCUUUCUCAAGAAAACAGUGGGCAUUUCAGGUAACAGAUGAAGAAGGUCAUCUGCAUUCACGUACAUCCUAACAUACAAGAUGCUGGUAUUAAGUUAAGACAGUAGGCCUUAAUACAGACUACGUAAGAACAAAUGUUAAAAGCAAGAAAGCAAAAAAGAAAUAGCCAAUGACUAUUGAUUGAUUGAA